rnacentral:rRNA from 1 species
CCUACGGGGAGCAGCAGUGAGGAAUAUUGGUCAAUGGGCGCGAGCCUGAACCAGCCAAGUCGCGUGAGGGAGGACGGCCCUACGGGUUGUAAACCUCUUUUGCCGGGGAGCAACGGGCGUCACGUGUGGCGCCACUGAGAGUACCCGGAGAAAAAGCAUCGGCUAACUCCGUGCCAGCAGCCGCGGUAAUACGGAGGAUGCGAGCGUUAUCCGGAUUUAUUGGGUGUAAAGGGAGCGUAGGCGGGAGUGCAAGUUGAAUGUAUAAACUAUCGGCUCAACUGAUAGAAGCGUUCAAAACUGCACUUCUUGAGUGAAGUAGAGGCAGGCGGAAUUCCUAGUGUAGCGGUGAAAUGCGUAGAUAUUAGGAGGAACACCAGUGGCGAAGGCGGCCUGCUGGGCUUUAACUGACGCUGAGGCUCGAAAGCGUGGGUAGCAAACAGGAUUAGAUACCCCAGUAGUC